UCCAAAAGGAAUCAUCAGCUGGCUACUGAUGAGAUAAAUGAGGUUGAGGUAAAUAUAAAAAAAAUCUGAACAGAUUUGUUAUUGCUCUCAAUUUCGAAAAACAGCUCGUGGUAUCAAGUUUUUGUUAUAAUAGAUUCCUUGAGUACCCAUAAUGUAGAAUAAUGAAAAAAAUACGUAAACUCAAAUUUUGUAAACCAGGGGAGUGUUUCCUUUUCACCAAACUAAAAAUGGCUUCGGC